UGUUCUGUGGCUUAGUUGGCUAAAGCGCCAGUCUAGCGAAUACGGAACCGUAAGUUCGAAUCUCACCAGAACGU
rfam:Aedes albopictus isolate Foshan contig78124, whole genome shotgun sequence.